rnacentral:misc_RNA from 1 species
UAAUCAAGUGUUUUUAUGGCACUUUCAAAAAUCCAUAUCCACCUUGUGUGCAAUGUCAUCUCUCUGGGGGCUGCCGGCUGUCAAAAGCCGUGUGGUCACCUUUGGGGAUUUAUAUCUACUCAGAACUUUAGUGAUUUUGUCUGAAACAUAUUAUGAAUACUUAAUUCAAAAUA